GGUGCGUACACUUCCGGGAGUUUUGAAAAAAAACACAAUUCUUCUUCUGGUGAAGACGUUGUCCGAACGCAUCAAGGACUGGUUGAAAGCUGUGAGAGAGAGGGAUGAAUUGCACGACUUUGCGAGCUCCCUAAAGAUACCUCCGAUUUUUUUUUUAGACGGAUAGAUCAUCUGAAUCUGACCCUGGUGGUCAGUGGUGAGCCAACCGCAGAAGUGAGUGAACGGACCAAGAGCCUGGUGUGGCCAGCCGUGGUGUCUUUGGAAUCAUCAUCACCCUGUGCCUUCCUUUACAUACAGAUAAGAACAUACAUAAAUCUACCCGGGUAGUGAAACGAACAUACAUACUUUGAAGAACACACGCAAAUGGACUCUUUCUUUUGUUGAAAUUGUUUAUUUUUGGGUUUAGUGUGCGAAUGUGCACUCAGGAAGCCGGCUUAGAUAGGCAGGGAAUGUAAAUAACUGUCAUUAAUUUGUGUAAUACAUCUCUCGAGCUUU